rnacentral:rRNA from 1 species
GAUGAACGCUGGCGGUAUGCUUAACACAUGCAAGUCGAACGGUCACUUCGGUGAUAGUGGCGGACGGGUGAGUAACGCGUGAGAUUCUGUCUUCAGGUCGGGGACAACAGUUAGAAAUGACUGCUAAUACCGGAUGUGCCUUUGGGUGAAAGAUUUAUUGCCUGAAAAAGAGCUCGCGUCAGAUUAGCUAGUAGGUGGUGUAAGAGACUACCUAGGCUCCGAUCUGUAGCUGGUCUGAGAGGACGAUCAGCCACACUGGAACUGAGACACGGUCCAGACUCCUACGGGAGGCAGCAGUGGGGAAUUUUCCGCAAUGGGCGAAAGCCUGACGGAGCAAUACCGCGUGAGGGACGAAGGCUUUUGGGUCGUAAACCUCUUUUCUCAAGGAAGAUGAUGACGGUACUUGAGGAAUAAGCAUCGGCUAACUCUGUG